rnacentral:rRNA from 1 species
AUUAGAGUUUGAUCCUGGCUCAGGACGAACGCUGGCGGCAUGCCUAACACAUGCAAGUCUAGGGGUAGCAAUACCACUGGCGCACGGGUGAGUAACACGUAGGUCAUCUGCCCCCAUCACAGACAUAACCCCGGGAAACCGGGGCUAAUAUCUGAUGAGGCCGAGAGGUCAAAGCUUAGGCGGAUGGGGAUGAGCCUGCGGCUGAUUAGCUAGUUGGUGAGGUAAUGGCUCACCAAGGCGACGAUCAGUAGCUGGUCUGAGAGGACGAACAGCCACACUGGAACUGAGACACGGUCCAGACUCCUACGGGAGGCAGCAGUGAGGAAUAUUGGUCAAUGGGCGCAAGCCUGAACCAGCAAUGCCGCGUGUGGGAUGACGGGGCUCUGCCUUGUAAACCACUGUCGGACGGGACGAAAAGGGAUAUCAAUCCCUGGGACGGUACCGUCAAAGGAAGGGUCGGCUAACUACGUGCCAGCAGCCGCGGUAAUAAUC